UACGAAGGUGGCAACCGUUGCUCGGAUUCACUGGGCAUAAAGCGCGCGUAGGUGGUUUGGCAGGUCACUGGUGAAAUCCCCCGGCUUAACCGGGGAACAGCCGGUGAAACCUUCAGGCUUGAGGCCGGGAGGGGAGAGUGGAACUCUUGGUGUAGCGGUGAAAUGCGUAGAUAUCAAGAGGAACGCCGGUGGCGAAAGCGACUCUCUGGACCGGACCUGACACUGAGGCGCGAAAGCUAGGGGAGCAAACAGGAUUAGAUACCCUGGUAGUCCUAGCUGUAAACGAUGGGCACUGGGUAGGGGUGGUCCUAUGCCGUCCCUGCCGAAGCAAAUGUAUUAAGUGCCCCGCCUGGGGAGUAUGGUCGCAAGGCUA
rnacentral:rRNA from 1 species